GGCUAAACCAUGCACCGAAGCUGCGGCAGCGAACGUAUCACCCAAGACAACUUUACGGAGUUGACGAUUGACGGAGCGAAGCGACGUCAAAGCGUUCAUUAAAGUCGAGUUGGCUUAGGGAUACGUUCGUUGGGUAGGGGAGCGUUCUGUAAGCCUGUGAAGGUGUGUCGUGAGGCAUGCUGGAGGUAUCAGAAGUGCGAAUGCUGACAUAAGUAACGAUAAAGCGGGUGAAAAGCCCGCUCGCCGGAAGACCAAGGGUUCCUGUCCAACGUUAAUCGGGGCAGGGUGAGUCGACCCCUAAGGCGAGGCCGAAAGGCGUAGUCGAUGGGAAACGGGUUAAUAUUCCCGUACUUGGUGUUACUGCGAAGGGGGGACGGAGAAGGCUAUGUUGGCCGGGCGACGGUUGUCCCGGUUUAAGCGUGUAGGUGUGUGUUCCAGGUAAAUCCGGUUCACUUUAACACUGAGGCGUGACGACGAGGCACUACGGUGCUGAAGCAACAAAUGCCCUGCUUCCAGGAAAAGCCUCUAAGCAUCAGGUAACACGAAAUCGUACCCCAAACCGACACAGGUGGUCAGGUAGAGAAUACCAAGGCGCUUGAGAGAACUCGGGUGAAGGAACUAGGCAAAAUGGUGCCGUAACUUCGGGAGAAGGCACGCUGACACGUAGGUGAAGUGAUUUACUCAUGGAGCUGAAGUCAGUCGAAGAUACCAGCUGGCUGCAACUGUUUAUUAAAAACACAGCACUGUGCAAACACGAAAGUGGACGUAUACGGUGUGACGCCUGCCCGGUGCCGGAA
rnacentral:rRNA from 1 species